GCCUCUUCUAGCGGAAACCUUGGAUUGGAAACAUGCAGAGGAUUCACAAUGGAGUCUUUCGAUGAUUCGGUGACGCUUCAGCAUCUCGAUUGGUGUGUUCCCAUUGUCGGUUCUGAUGAAGAAAGUUCCCUCAUUGAGCGAGGAUGAAGCCAACAUUGAACAGAUCUGAGUGAUGACCAAGCCCGUCCCAGAUAGUCUGGAUCGAACCUGGGCCUGGAAGGAUCUGCCAGGUGUUCUGCCUUCAAAAUCAAAUCCGUAGAACUAAAGGGUUUCUCUCCUGUAUGAAUCCUCAUUGUGUAUUUAGAUUUGCCCCUUUGGUAAAAUCUUUUACCACACUUGGAACAAAAUCUCUGGAGUUAUAAAAAAUCCUCUACAGCUCAGAAUUGUAUUCAGGUGUCUUGUAAAAAUCCAGCACUUCCCAAUAAAAUAACUCAACUAA